rnacentral:rRNA from 1 species
AGACCAACCGGGAUUGCCUUAGUAACGGCGAGUGAAGCGGCAAAAGCUCAAAUUUGAAAUCUGGCGUCUUCGACGUCCGAGUUGUAAUUUGAAGAAGGCAACUUUGUAGCUGGUCCUUGUCUAUGUUCCUUGGAACAGGACGUCAUAGAGGGUGAGAAUCCCGUGUGGCGAGGAUCCCAGUUAUUUGUAAAGUGCUUUCGACGAGUCGAGUUGUUUGGGAAUGCAGCUCUAAGUGGGUGGUAAAUUCCAUCUAAAGCUAAAUAUUGGCGAGAGACCGAUAGCGAACAAGUACAGUGAUGGAAAGAUGAAAAGAACUUUGAAAAGAGAGUGAAAAAGUACGUGAAAUUGUUGAAAGGGAAGGGCAUUUGAUCAGACAUGGCGUUUGCUUCGGCUUUCGCUGGGCCAGCAUCAGUUUUAGCGGUUGGAUAAAUCCUCGGGAAUGUGGCUCUGCUUCGGUAGAGUGUUAUAGCCCGUGGGAAUACAGCCAGCUGGGACUGAGGAUUGCGACUUUUGUCAAGGAUGCUGGCGUAAUGGUUAAAUGCCGC